AUACGGAGGAUCCGAGCGUUAUCCGGAUUUAUUGGGUUUAAAGGGUGCGCAGGCGGGAGAUUAAGUCGGCGGUGAAAUUUUGCAGCUCAACUGGAAAAGUGCCUUCGAAACUGGUUUCCUUGAGUGUAGAUGAAGUAGGCGGAAUUUGUGGUGUAGCGGUGAAAUGCAUAGAUAUCACGAGGAACUCCGAUUGCGCAGGCAGCUUACUAAACUACUACUGACGCUCAGGCACGAAGGCGUGGGGAUCAAACAGGAUUAGAUACCCUGGUAGUCCACGCAGUAAACGAUGAUUACUAGCUGUUUGCGAUACAAUGUAAGCGGCUGAGCGAAAGCGUUAAGUAAUCCACCUGGGGAGUACGUUCGCAAGAAUGAAACUCAAAUGAAUUGACGGGG
rnacentral:rRNA from 1 species